GCCGGUGUAGCUCAGUGGUAGAGCACUCGAUUCGUAAUCGAGCGGCCGUGAGUUCAAAUCUCAUCACCGGCU
rnacentral:tRNA from 10 species